rnacentral:rRNA from 1 species
AUCUAUGGCCAUGCUACCCUGAACAUGCCCGAUCCCAUCUGAUCUAAGAAGCUAAGCAGAGUCGGGCCUGGUUAGUACUUGGAUGAGACACCACCUAGGAAGAUCAGGUGCUGUAGGCA